rnacentral:lncRNA from 1 species
GUCAAUGAGAUAAUAAUUAUUUUGUGUUUUUUAUAGGAGAAGUAAAGAAAAAAGAAAAGUGAAUUGGGAAGAGAUUAUUGUACCUUAUAAAAUAUAUGAAGAGAAUGAUAAUGGAGAAAUUUUAACUUGUAAUAGUUUGUAUAUAGAACUAGAUGUAAGAUGAAGAGGAUGAUGACAUUAGGUAGGAAUGAGGUACAAAAUUUAAUGUGUAGAUAGGAGUUAUGUGUUAUAUAAUUGAAUGAUAGUGUGUAAAAGAAAAUGUUUGUCUUAGAAAUGGAAUGAAGAGUGUAUGGAGAAGAAAUGUAAGAUUUAGAAUGGACUGAAGAAGGAUUUUUUUAAGUGAAAAUAUAUAGGUAUAUAGUUGGAGAUGAAGAAAAAUAAUAUAAAUAGUGGGUCCAAAUAUUAUAUGAAAAAAGUAGACGGAAGAGAUAAUAAAAAAAGUUAAUGAAAAAUUUAAGUGGAGAAAAAUAAUGUAAAAAGUGGGUGAAGAAAUUAGAUAAAUGAAGUGGAUGAGAGAAAUAAUAAAAUAGUUAAUGGAGAAAUUAAAUAGGGAAAAAUUGAUUAAAAAAAAUAUAGAAGUAAGUAGAGAAAUUAGAUAAAAAAGUAUAUGGAGAAAAUAAAAAAAGGAAGCAUAAAUAAAAUAUGAUUAGUAUAAAAAAAAUUAGUAUAAUAAGUGGGUGGAAAAAUUAGAUGAGUAAAGAAAAGAAUAAAAAAAGGAAGGUGGAGAAAGUAGGUGAAUAAAAUAUGAUUUAAAAAAAAUGAGUGGAAGAAAUAGAAAAAGUUAAUAGAGAAAAUGAGUACAAAAUAUAAUAUAAAAAGUGGGUGGAGAAAUUAGAUUAAGGAAAUAGACGAAGACAAUAAAAAAAUGGUUAAAUAUGUUUUUGAUCCUUUAACUUUCAUUGAAAAUUAGAAUUAGUUUCUCUAUGAAAUUUUAAUCUAAUUUAGUCCUUCAACUUUAGAAAUCGGUGGAUUUAGUCUUUGUAACCAAAUUUUGUUAAGUUUAUUUGACGUUUCAAACGUAU